rnacentral:rRNA from 1 species
UACGAAGGGGGCUAGCGUUGCUCGGAAUCACUGGGCGUAAAGCGCACGUAGGCGGCUUUCUAAGUCAGGGGUGAAAUCCUGGAGCUCAACUCCAGAACUGCCUUUGAUACUGGAGAGCUUGAGUCCGGGAGAGGUGAGUGGAACUCCGAGUGUAGAGGUGAAAUUCGUAGAUAUUCGGAAGAACACCAGUGGCGAAGGCGGCUCACUGGCCCGGUACUGACGCUGAGGUGCGAAAGCAUGGGGAGCGAACAGG